GGGGAUGUAACUCAAUUGGUAGAGUGUUUGUCUCACAUGCAUAAGGCCCUGGGUUCAAUCCCCAGUAGCACCA
rnacentral:tRNA from 1 species